rnacentral:tmRNA from 1 species
UCUUGAAAUUUGCCAUAUUUAUCCUUAUACUUAGUCCUUGUCAGAGUGAUCUGACUAUGACACCAGAGGCUCUAUGAAAUAGGUAUGUUGGACCUGGGGGCAGUACCCAGCACCUCCACCAUUUAUGAUAACAUCUGUGGGGGUGACAUAGGAUUGACAAUAUAUAGUAAAGAUAGGUAAGCUGUGUUCGGCAAGAUACCACCGUUAUCGGUUCAAAUUUAAAUGAAUGCUAACGAUAAUAACGUAGCUCCUGUUGCAUUGGCUGCUUAGUUGUAGUCGCAACAAAUCAAAAUCCUUACAGCCAUGGAUAGCUGUAAGUGGGGUCUGAGCCACCUAUCAACAGAACGGCU